rnacentral:misc_RNA from 1 species
CCCACACUUUAAUAUGUGACCGUUCUGGCAACCCCUUCGCUCGCUCCACUGAACUCGCCCCGCAGUCGGUGCACGAAAUUGAGUGCGCGCUGUGUGUGUGACUCUAUGUAAGUGUAUGUGUGUAUAGACUGAGGCGCAACCCUUGUCUCAGCGGCGGAUUUUCCUUCGCAUGUACGUGUGUGCAAGCUUCAUCAGCGCGAGCGCACCGUCAUCUGUGUUUUUGCGUGCCUGCGCGUCACACAUCCCUCUCGCUGUGGAUUGCAAAAUCCCGGAGAGAACGAAUCGCACCGCCCUGUAUAGUAUGGGCGGGCCCCUCUUUGCCUGCGUGUGUGAGCGUGUGUUUUGCCUCUCUCCUUUGUGCUCCCUGGCUUUCGAGCUGUUGGUGCACACCCGCCCCCUCUUCGCAUACGGUUUCUUCUCUCUUCUCAUACCCGGACCCGUUUCCUGCAAGUGGUGGUGGUGCGCAACUAUCGGCGUGUUGUUUCCCUUCAUCAUAUGCACACAAUGCCCGCCCUCGCUCGAAGCCCCAUGGCCUUUGGUCUCGCUGCUGUUGCUCUUCACUCGUGCAGCGGGUGCAACAGUGGCCAACGGGCGUGCUUUCGAACACGGCACACUGGACUGGCAGCGGUUCGUGUCGGAACGCCCCGCACCUACACCGCGAUCUCUCUGCCCCACUCCGGAGCACGUUCUCAGGCGCGAGUGAACGCACACGACAGCACAGCUGAUGCCGGCGUAAACACCUGCCCGAUCGAUACAGUGAGAGUCGCCGGCUCCGCCCUUUCCUCCUCCGCGUCCUUCACCGCCACAGCUAUGUCCGGCUCCACGAUGGCUUCCAUGGUGGAUCAGCUGCGCGUCCGCGAAGCAGCUCCGCCUGCUUAUGUGCGCGUACCGCGCCUACUGGUGUUCGGCGGUGAUGUGGUCUCAGUCACCGCACUUGAAGCCCUUCACGCACGGAUGCGCUGCAUCGUGGCAAGUGCGCUGCGGUGCUCGAAGGCAGGCAACAGCAGUGGCGACGCAGGUGAUGUGCACUGGUCACCCUUGGCUGCAGCGUCAUCAUCGCAGGGACGGCGCGCGGCAAAGGACGAAGAGGCCAUGACAGAGGUGGACGCAUUCGUGCGUGAUCAUAUCACGGUGGUGUGUCCGGCGCUUCCGCGUGGCAUGACGCCGGAGGAGGCGGCCAAGAAGUUCACGCGCCAGUACCCAGUAGCGCGGUACUGCGUCGAACACGGAUUGCCAAUCAUCCCGGUGGAUGACCCAAAGUCGCUGUCGCGGAGCGCCUUGCUGAAGGAGAUGCUGGCCAGCAGGAAAGACGUGGCAGCCAGUACGACAGGCUCACACGCACAUCAUCUUUACAGGAGCCGCCCUAUGGCGAGCCACCGGACCUCACACGCGCUGCCGUCAUCUGCGCCGCGCUGCGGAGCCGGCGUCCUUUCGCCGUCAGCGAAUGGAAAGCUCAAUACCAAGGGCUUUUCGCCAUCUUCUGCGCCCUCUGCGACUCCGCACACAUGGGUCGCACAGGGGCGUUCUCUGGCGGACUACGACCUCACCGUUGUCGUCUCCUUCCGCUACUUCCUGCCGAAGCGCCUGUUGCAUGUGCUGCCACCCGUGAUCAAUAUGCACCCCUCGCUGCUCCCGCGCUACCGCGGCGCCAGCCCCAUCUUUACUGCACUGCGUCGCAACGAGACGUUGGGCGGCGUGAGCAUCACUCAAAUGAAACCCGAGCAGACAGCAAUGGACUCGGGGAACGUGCUCUGGCAGUGCGAGGUGCCCAUCCCCCUCGACAUGGACAUUCGCUUGUACUUCCCGUUGGUCACCCAGAUCGGUGCGGCUGGCCUAUGCGACCUUAUAUUUGGCGAAGCUCCACCAGCGUGGCGGCCAUCGGUGACGACCAGCGACGUUUCUGUGCUUGCGCCCCCCUUGGCCUCAGCGCGGCCGUCCGCGUCCUGGUCCCACGGCUGCAGCGGUAGUCAACCACAAACUCACCAAGACGGCGUCGACUGUCGCUCGACCAAGGCUUCAUCCACCAACGGCGCCAUAGUACCGUCGUGGUUCGCGCUGCGUCAGCGCAGUCUGACACCUCUCGUGCACCGUCCCGGCGGCCGCGUUGCCGCGCCGGCUUCGGUUACGUCGAACGACACACACUUGCCGACGAAUACGCUCUUCAGCGCCACCGAGCUACCGUUUCUGUCAUCCUUGCCAGGCUCGUCGGAGAACUGCUCAGUGAUGCGCGUUCGCCAAACGGUGCACGCAUUAGAUGGCAUGACACUGAGUCACUGCCUUGGCAGCUCUGAAGCGUCUCCCAGCGCAGAUGGUGCAGAGGUUCGCCACCCCCGCUGCUGCCAGCCCUGGAUGACGCUGUGCCGUGCCCCCACCCACAUCACCCCCGAGGCGGUGCGCGCCGCCAGCAAAACGCUUCGUGCGCUGUUCUUCCAGAAUCUGGGGAGCCCUUCCGAUGCUGCUGCUGCUGCUGCUGCUGCACCGGCAACACCGGCUUGCAGUGCCGCGGCGCAUCAGCACAAGAGUGGCACUGCCGCGGCAACGGCAGAGUGCAAGAGGGCUCUGGUAAGCAAAAAGACGGUCUCUCUCAGUGCGGCAGCGGAGAUGGGCAUCACAACUACCAUGAAGUGCGCGGAGGUUUUCCCGGCUUCGGUGCUGAGCUCGCACUGCGACUGGCCAGACAGCUUUACGUACAGUUGGAAGUUUGCGCAGAUUCAGGCGUAUCCCACCUAUGCCCACUUCUCCGAGGAUCCCUACCAUGCACCACUGUUGCCGAAGGAUGCAGCAGUGGUGCGCUUCAGUAGUAUGGAUGCAGCCGAAGCGUUCGGUGUCUGGCGCGCCUUCGUCGGCGGGGACUACUUCCAGCCCUCGGUGAAUGCCACGCUCGACAAGGGUAGCACCCCGGUGCGCAACCAGCUAGUGCACCGCGCGUUGCGGCGGAUUCUGCUCAAGCGUGCCAAGCCGCACGCCAAGUCGCAGGGAAAUUCGCAGCAGCAGAGGGAGUGCGCGGGAGCAAGGCAAGAAAAGAUGUUGGCUGCCACGGUAACCUUGACUAGCGAGGACAGCGACGUUCCCGUCGGCGUCGUGGCGGGCAAACAUGUUGACCUGGACAUCUUCAGCCCUGCAGGCCUUCAGCUGCUCACGGAGGCGGAGAACACACUACGCAUCCCCUGCACCUUCACACAAGUGGUGAACCCGGUACUGGCACCAGAGUGCGUGUGCGAAGAGUUGGCUGAGGUGGAGCGAAGCGGACAUCUGCAAAGGGUGUCUUCCACCUGCAUCUGUCAGCACCAGUCACAGCAGCUUCAUCGGCGUGUUCGCUUUUACCGUGCACCGGCGGCCAUUUUUCGUUCACUGCUGUGCAACCGUACAAGCGACAGCGCUGCACAGGAGACGACACGGCGGGUUAGAUGCUGGUCUGUCCUUGCGUUGAGCGAGCGCGGCACGGCAGGCACAAAUGGAGCGCACCUGACCUUGCAGCAGCAACCGUGCGAAGCAGCUGGCGAAGGCACAGUCCCUCACUCAACCACAACGUCACCUCGCGCCGCUUCUUUCACCGCAGAGGAGAAGGGGCAGCGGCAGCCGGACCAUGGCCACCCGCAUGCCGGUGGUGUAGCUACGGCAGUGCAAACAGAGGAGCCGGCGGAGGACGAGGAGGCACCGGAGGACUACGUGCCUGAGGUUAUCCACGCCGCACCGCCGACACAGCACCACGUCCACAUCCCUCCCGGCACCGGCUACUUUCCUCAGUGUGACGAAAGCUACGGCGCCAUAAAGUGCAAGGAAGGGUGGUUCCUCUGGAAGGAGGCUCAUAUGAAGUGGGCGAACAAGGCUCAGCCGGCCGUCCUCAUCCGGAAAGGCCUGGCCAUGAAGACGGGUGUCCUCUACGUCGGACUCUUCUCCGAAUACUCGUAGAACAGGGUUGUCUCCUUGUGGUGUCUCUAUAUAUGUGUGUGUUUGUGUGCUUGCGCUCUCAGCGAGUGCUAUUAUGCCUCCGUGUGUGUGCGCGCGAGCGGGCUCGCCUGCUUGCCAGUUGCUUUAACACGAGUGGUAAAUUCCGCCCUCAAACGCCCGCACGCUGAUUCGCCUCUUCUGUGUUUCUGCGUUGCACGUGACGGUGUGCUGCUUCUCCUCGACCCUGAAUGAUUUGCGUGACCGGUUGACCUUGUCGCAGCGCCGGAGAGGGGCACGGAUGAACCAGAAGCCCGUGAGCAGCGCGGUGGUGAUCGCGCCCUCACAUGUCACCGGCCGAACUCUGUCUGUUUCGUACUCACGCAUGCACAU